GUUAUUGGUCUGUUCAGGGUAUCUAAUUCUUCCUGAUUUAAGCUAGGACGGUUAUAUUUUUUCCAGGAAUUUAUCCAUCUCUGCUAGGUUUUCUAGUUUAUGUGCGUAAAUGUGUUUGUAAUAGCCUUGAAUGAUCCUUUGAAUUUCAGUUGUGCCAGUUGUAAUGUCUCCUGUUUCAUUUCAUAGUGAGGGUAUUUGGAUUUUCUAUCUUC
rnacentral:lncRNA from 1 species